rnacentral:rRNA from 1 species
GAUGAACGCUGGCGGCAUGCCUAAUACAUGCAAGUCGAACGAGAGGAAGGAAAGCUUGCUUUUCUGAAUCUAGUGGCGAACGGGUGAGUAACACGUAGGUAACCUGCCCAUGUGCCCGGGAUAACUUCUGGAAACGGAUGCUAAAACCGGAUAGGUAGCAGACAAGCAUUUGACUGCUAUUAAAGUGGCUAAGGCCAUGAACAUGGAUGGACCUGCGGUGCAUUAGCCAGUUGGUGAGGUAACGGCCCACCAAGGCGACGGUGCAUAGCCGGCCUGAGAGGGCUGACGGCCACAUUGAGACUGACACACGGCCCAAACUCCUACGGGAGGCAGCAGUAGGGAAUUUUCGUCAAUGGGGGGAACCCUGAACGAGCAAUGCCGCGUGAGUGAGGAAGGUCUUCGGAUCGUAAAGCUCUGUUGUAAGCGAAAAACGACAUUCAUAGGGAAUGAUGAGUGAGUGAUGGUAUCUUACCAGAAAGUCACGGCUAACUACGUGCCAGCCGCCGCCGUAAGAC